rnacentral:rRNA from 1 species
UACAGAGGUCUCAAGCGUUGUUCGGAUUCAUUGGGCGUAAAGGGUGCGUAGGCGGCGCGGUAAGUCGGGUGUGAAAUCUCGGAGCUUAACUCCGAAACUGCAUUCGAUACUGCCGUGCUUGAGGACUGGAGAGGAGACUGGAAUUUACGGUGUAGCGGUGAAAUGCGUAGAUAUCGUAAGGAAGACCAGUGGCGAAGGCGGGUCUCUGGACAGUUCCUGACGCUGAGGAGCGAAAGCCGUGGGGAGCGAACAGG